rnacentral:rRNA from 1 species
GAUGAACGCUGGCGGCGUGCCUAAUACAUGCAAGUCGAGCGAACGGACGAGAAGCUUGCUUCUCUGAGGUUAGCGGCGGACGGGUGAGUAACACGUGGAUAACCUACCUAUAAGACUGGGAUAACUUCGGGAAACCGGAGCUAAUACCGGAUAAUAUUUUGAACCGCAUGGUUCAAAAGUGAAAGACGGUCUUGCUGUCACUUAUAGAUGGAUCCGCGCUGCAUUAGCUAGUUGGUAAGGUAACGGCUUACCAAGGCAACGAUGCAUAGCCGACCUGAGAGGGUGAUCGGCCACCCUGGGACUGAGCCACGGUCCAGACUCCUACGGGAGGCAGCAGUAGGGAAUCUUCCGCAAUGGGCGAAAGCCUGACGGAGCAACGCCGCGUGAGUGAUGAAGGUCUUCGGAUCGUAAAACUCUGUUAUUAGGGAAGAACAUAUGUGUAAGUAACUGUGCACAUCUUGACGGUACCUAAUCAGAAAGCCACGGCUAACUCCGUG